GCGGGAUUAGCUCAGUUGAAUAGCAGCAAGCGCCUUCUAAGCGCUAGGUCACUGGUUUGAGUCCAGUAUCCCGUGCCA
rnacentral:tRNA from 1 species